CGACGGAAAUUAUGCAGCACGACGCGGAGCAAUCAUGCCAUAUUUUAUGUGCGUUUUCCAGGCGAGCCAACAACGCCAACUUCAGAUCACUUUAGAGCGUUGCCAAUUGCAGGCCGCAUCUCGUUGUUAAUACUACAAUUGUCAACCGUGCAAAUUUCCAAAUGUCGGCUGCAGAGGAUUUGGGGACAUGGGAGAAGAUGAUGGCGUGUUGUUUCCCCUGUGGUUUAGUGUGGCUGAAGGAGGGGACAGGUUCGGCCUGUUGUUGCAACGUCGUUCUUGGGGCGUUGUUUGGGGUUUGCUGCGUUAACGUUUGUCACGCCUGCAAGUUCGUCGACGAACCUGGAGCCCCUGGAAGUCCGUACAACGCCAUUCAGCUACAAGCCGUUACUUCACAGCCCAUGAAAAUGUGAAAUGGAAUUUGAAUAUUUCUAUAUGUUACACGUUAUUGGAGAACUCUUGCUGAUUUUUUCAUGUAUUGCAAAAUUUUCUUUAAGGCUUAAUUAAUAUAAUAAUACUAGACGUUCACACUUAUGUAUUAGUUCACUAAAUUUAAAAUUCUAGUAAAUGCAUUCAAAUUUUCACUGAAUUUUACUUCGAGCUUACAGAGUAUUAUUCAAUGUAUUAUUAAUAUGAGCAGAAUUGAGUAAUAAAGUUUGUUUGAAUUAAUGUGCUCCACGUGAA